rnacentral:hammerhead_ribozyme from 1 species
GCACUUCUGAGGAGUCGCACAAUAGGACGAAACAGUUGUCAAGUGU